rnacentral:miRNA from 1 species
GUCAAAAAGUUCAUUCGGAUUUUUCAUGUUCCUGAAAAGCCCGAACAAACUUUUUGGC